rnacentral:rRNA from 1 species
CGGGGCUAAUACCGUAUAAAGCGACCGAUGCGCCUGCAUAGGUUGUUAAAGCUGCUUAAUUGUAGCGCACAGAGAUGGGCCUGCGUUCCAUUAGCUUGUUGGCGGGUUAAGAGCCCACCAAGGCGACGAUGGAUAGCUGAUCUGAGAGGAUGAUCAGUCACACGGGCACUGAGACACGGGCCCGACUCCUACGGGAGGCAGCAGUAAGGAAUAUUGGUCAAUGGGGGCAACCCUGAACCAGCCAUGCCGCGUGGUGGAUGACGGCCCUCUGGGUUGUAAACACCUUUUAUGCGAGACUAAUAUCCGGCUAUACGCCGGAUUGCAGGUACCGCAUGAAUAAGCACCGGCUAACUACGUGCCAGCAGCCGCGGUAAUACGUAGGGUGCAAGCGUUGUCCGGAUUUAUUGGGUUUAAAGGGUGCGUAGGCGGCGUAUUAAGUUCGUGGUGAAAUCGCCCGGCUCAACCGGGUACCCGCCAUGGAUACUGGUAUGCUUGAGUGCGUCCGAGGAGGUUAGAACGCGUGGUGUAGCGGUGAAAUGCAUAGAUAUCACGCAGAAUACCGAUUGCGAAGGCAGACCUCUGGGGCGUAACUGACGCUGAGGCACGAAAGCGUGGGGAGCGAACAGGAUUAGAUACCCUGGUAGUCCACGCUGUAAACGAUGAUCACUAGGUGUUCGGUGGAAUUAACUGCUGAGUGCCCAAGCGAAAGCGAUAAGUGAUCCACC